CGGGUGCGUAACGCGUAUGCAAUCUACCUUUUACUAGAGUAUAGCCCAGAGAAAUUUGGAUUAAUCCUCUAUAAUAUCUUUAAGUUUCAUGACUUUUAGAUUAAAGUUUUAACGGUAAAAGAUGAGCAUGCGUCCUAUUAGUUUGUAGGUGAGGUAACGGCUCACCUAGACUACGAUAGGUAGGGGCCCUGAGAGGGGGAUCCCCCACACUGGUACUGAGACACGGACCAGACUCCUACGGGAGGCAGCAGUAAGGAAUAUUGGACAAUGGACGAAAGUCUGAUCCAGCCAUGCCGCGUGCAGGAUGAAAGCCCUAUGGGUUGUAAACUGCUUUUAUACAGGAAGAAACACUCGUACGUGUACGAGCUUGACGGUACUGUAAGAAUAAGGACCGGCUA
rnacentral:rRNA from 1 species